GUGCUUGUUUUGGCAGCAUGUAUACUAAAACUGGAAUGAUACAGGAAAGAUUAGCAUGGCCCCUGUGUAAAUUCUUUAUGCAUUCCAUAUUUUU
rnacentral:snRNA from 1 species